rnacentral:rRNA from 1 species
GAGUUUGAUCCUGGCUCAGAUUGAACGCUGGCGGCAUGCCUUACACAUGCAAGUCGAACGGCAGCACGGGAGCUUGCUCCUGGUGGCGAGUGGCGAACGGGUGAGUAAUGCAUCGGAACGUAUCCUGGAGUGGGGGAUAACGUAGCGAAAGUUACGCUAAUACCGCAUAUUCUGUGAGCAGGAAAGCGGGGGACCUUCGGGCCUCGCGCUCUUGGAGCGGCCGAUGUCGGAUUAGCUAGUUGGUGAAGUAAAGGCUCACCAAGGCGACGAUCCGUAGCAGGUCUGAGAGGAUGGUCUGCCACACUGGAACUGAGACACGGUCCAGACUCCUACGGGAGGCAGCAGUGGGGAAUUUUGGACAAUGGGGGCAACCCUGAUCCAGCCAUGCCGCGUGAGUGAAGAAGGCCUCGGUUGUAAG